UGAGGAAUAUUGGACAAUGGGCGCAAGCCUGAUCCAGCCAUGCCGCGUGCAGGAUGACGGUCCUAUGGAUUGUAAACUGCUUUUUGUACAGGAAGAAACAGUUCUACGUGUAGAACCUUGACGGUACUGUAAGAAUAAGGAUCGGCUAACUCCGUGCCAGCAGCCGCGGUAAUACGGAGGAUCCAAGCGUUAUCCGGAAUCAUUGGGUUUAAAGGGUCCGUAGGCGGUUAGAUAAGUCAGUGGUGAAAGCCCAUCGCUCAACGGUGGAACGGCCAUUGAUACUGUCUGACUUGAAUUAUUAGGAAGUAACUAGAAUAUGUAGUGUAGCGGUGAAAUGCUUAGAGAUUACAUGGAAUACCAAUUGCGAAGGCAGGUUACUACUAAUGGAUUGACGCUGAUGGACGAAAGCGUGGGUAGCGAACAGGAUUAGAUACCCAUGUAGUCCCUGAGCGGGCUGGCAAGGCGCAU
rnacentral:rRNA from 1 species